GUACACACCGCCCGUCGCUACUGUUGAAGAAAUUAGAAGCAAAGCCGUUGGAUUGAAAAAUAUUAAUUAGUAUUAGUUAAGAGUUUUCGAGAAGAUGUAUGAGUGUUCUAAUGCUGAAAUAGUAAAAGUCGUAACAAGGUUUCCGUAGGUGAACCUGCAGAAGGAUCA
rnacentral:rRNA from 1 species